rnacentral:lncRNA from 1 species
AUCCUGUGCGCUCAUUUAAAUCCAACGGACAAGAACAUCCCAUACCCGUUCGUGUGUAGUUUUUCUAAAGAGUCCCUGGAAUCUUGUGGAUUCAUGUCUGCAGUACUCGGCCAGGAGGAUUUCUAGGAUUUUUCUUUAUUUAUUUUUAUUUCAUUUAAUCUUUGUAAAAAUUAUGGAUCUGCCACUACACUGUUUCACUUAUAAAACCGUCAUUUUAGCUCUAAUUUGAUCCAUUCAAUUGCAUUAGUUUCAUAGUUUCGUAAGCAUCGCGAUGGUACCACUUUUGUAUAGGUUUUGCACUGUUAGAUUUCCUAGAAAAUUACAAGUCUGUAGAUCGCCUUUGAGGUCUAGUUUAAUGCGUAGUUUUCGUGUUGUAACUUCAUUUUCUGUGAACUUUGCGUUGGCAUGAUCAUUGCAACGAGCAGAUGAUUAUGGAAAACGUUUUAUUUAUUGCUGGUGUAUUGUUCUAACUUUAGGAAUAUUUUGCUUGCAUGUUUGUCAUUGGAAUGCGUGUUGUUGUACGUGUU